AUGGACUGGAGCUGGAGAAUCCUCUUCCUGGUGGCAGCAGCUACUGGUGCCCACUCCCAAGUCCAGCUGGUGCAGUCUGGGGCUGAGGUGAAGAAGCCUGGAGAGUCUGUGAAGGUCUCCUGCAAGGCUUCCGGAUACACCUUCACCAGCUACUAUAUGCACUGGGUGCGCCAGGUCACUGGACAAGGGCUUGAGUGGAUGGGAUGGAUCAAUCCUAGCUCUGGUGGCACAAGCUAUGCACAGAAUUUCCAGGGCAGAGUCACCAUGACCAGGGACACGUCCAUUAGCACAGCCUUCAUGGAGCUGAGCAGUCUGAGAUCUGAGGAUACAGCUGUGUAUUUCUGUGCAAGAGACACAGUGUGA